GGAAAACUAACCGGACUUUGAA
rnacentral:snRNA from 1 species